GAUUGUGAUGGACCGGCUAAUUCAUCAGCUGUUGGCCGCUGUCUAGCAACACCAGCUGGGGUAUUCACUGUUGAAGGUGUCUGGGAUAUAGCUGAAGUUGAAGGUUGUACUCGUCUAGAAGGGUGGGAUGGUCCAGCUAAUUCAGCAGUCAUUGCUCGCCGCAUUGCAACAUUAGCUCGUGUAUUAGACGACGACCUAUCUACAGAUAGCCAUACUCCAUCUGUUGAAGAUGCCUGGGAUACAGCUGAAGCUGGAGCCGAUCUUAGAAUAUCACGAUCAUCUUGAAAGAAGGAAUCUCUUGAACUCUGACUUGGUGGAACUACAGAUCCAGGGCUUGAAGGUGGUGAAUCUAUGAUGCUUGAAUUUGGGCUUGAUGGUGAACUAGCUGAUGCAGCGAUAUGACAGCAGAGGAGAUCCUAACUGUCCAUUAUGGACAGUUUAGGGAAUAUGUGGCAGAAUGCAGCCACGAACUGGAAGAGGAAGAAGAAGAGGAGGAAGAAGAAAUAGAAGAAGAUGAAGGAAUCGAGGCUGAUUUAGAAGAAAAUUGAUGGCUGCCCCUCUCCUCCUCCUCUACUAGCAUUAAGUAUUUAGUUAUAAGUUUGUGUAAAUAAUAUAAAAUAGAGUAAUAUAAGUUUG